rnacentral:rRNA from 1 species
CCCUUAGAUGUUCUGGGCCGCACGCGCGCUACACUGAUGCAUUCAACGAGUCUAAAACCUGCUCUGAUAGGGGUGGGUAAUCUUUUGAAUGUGCAUCGUGAUUGGGAUAGAUGAUUGCAAUUUUUCAUCUUCAACGAGGAAUGCCUAGUAAACGCAAGUCAUCAGCUUGCAUUGAUUACGUCCCUGCCCUUUGUACACACCGCCCGUCGCUCCUACCGAUUGAAUGAUCCGAUGAAUAUCAUGGAUUGAGGAUGCAAGUAGGUUAGCCUAUCUUCAUCUUCGAGAAGUGAAGUAAAUCUUAUCGUUUAGAGGAAGGAGAAGUCGUAACA